GAUUUCCAUACAAAUUCAUCAAGAAGUUUACAUUUGGAUUUCCAGAACAAUGGAAACAAUAUGUUGAGAAUUUUCUUGAGGAACUAAAGAGGAAGGAACAAGAUACUGAUGAGGCUGGCAAUGAAAAAAUCAGUUCUGUGGAAGUGGAUAUGUUGGAAGAAGAGGGGGUAACAGGAGACUUAAAAAAACAAUCUCGAACACAAAAUGCCACUUAUGAAGUAGCAUUGAAUGAUAAUGGAUGUGUAGAUAUGACACCUAAACACAAUUCUGUGGAGAAAGACCCAGAUGCAAGUUACAGCCGUAGUGGUCGGCGCAUUAAACCACCAUUGCAUUACUGGUGUGGACAACGAGAGUUCGUUGAUCAUAAACUAAAUGUUACUAUAGAAGAGGGUGGAAAAAACUACUUGAGUAUUGUAAGAC
rnacentral:lncRNA from 1 species